ensembl:lncRNA
CGGGGUGGGAAGCGCCGAGCGGGCGCUGGAGGGAGCUGCCGCCACGGGCACCGCGCCGGCUCCGACAGCCGCGAGCGCAGAGGGAGAGAGCGCUGCAGGGCUGUAAACGGCAUCUCUCGCUGUCACUUCAGCUUAAGAGCGUCCUCUCUUUUUAAAGCGAGACAAGCUAGUUUUCUAGCUCGGGAGGAAUGCACGAGCAGGAUGUAACCCAUCUGAUGAUGCAUCUUCAAUCAAAGGUUUGUCAUUUACUGAAGAGAAAGGCUCAAGGGAGCAGAUCCUUCCAUGUUUUCAGUUGGCAUGGGUCCACAGAACAGCUGUGCCAAUUACUUCCAGUUGAGGACUACCACUGGGUGUAUAGCUGCUUGUACUGAAGUUGUUGCAAUUACUAUCAUUAUGUUAUUUCUUGGCAAGGAAAGGAGAAAGAUAAGUGAGUGUCUGGGGUGCUUUGUUUAACUGCGGUGGGCCACUUACUCAUGCCAACCACCGAGAGCUACUAGGAAGCAAGCACAGCGAGAAGUGAACUUCUUGGAAAUUUCAGAUUUAACACGGUAAGGAGACAAAGGGCCUUCUUAAUGAAACCUAAUAUACUUUAGGUCUGCCAGUUCCUUCAGAAAGGGAAAGCAUUUUUCAAUGUGUUAGAUUACUGCUGCACUACCUAUUAUGUGCUUGCUUUUAUGCAGCUGACAGAGAUCUUUACCACUGCUUUGACCUGCAGGAGCUACUCGUGUUAAUGCCAGCACCGAGGAAAACUAUCGCGUGGUUUACCUCCACCUGAGGAACCAUCUUGAUGACUUGCUCCAAAUGGUACACAACUAUUCACACACCUAUGAUCACAGUGCUGCGAAGGGAAGUCUUUAGACAAAAUGAAGAGUGGGCUGGAAGCUUCAGAUGGCAGCUAGGGGUGUGAAGGACUUCAGUGUCUUGUUGCUCGGCGUGCACAGCUGUGAGAGCCCUCUCACAUCAGGAAAGCUUCAGGGCCUCCUUCUAGCAAACCAACUGCCCCCAGUGCUCAGACAAACAUUGCAUUGCAUCUGGUCUGGAUGUUGCAUUGCAGCCAGUUCAACACAGCAUGUAUUGUGAAGAUGAUGUUUUCCUUUUUUUCCUCUUUUUGUACAGCAAAGCUUCAGCAGUUCCUGGCUGCAGCACGGAGGUACUGAACAGUUCACUGCAAUGCUCUGGGGCUCAGACCAAGCGUAGGGCAGCGCCACCAUCAGCAGGAGGGCCCCGUCCUACUCUAGCUUUGCCAAUGAAAUACGGAGAGAACCCUUUCAUACUUAAUGUAUGUGUUUUACUCAUUAAAGAGUGC